GUGGGGAAUUUUCCGCAAUGGGCGAAAGCCUGACGGAGCAAUACCGCGUGAGGGAAGAAAGCCUACUGGGUUGUAAACCUCUUUUUUCAGGGAGGAAAAAAAUGACGUGUACCUGAAGAAUAAGCAUCGGCUAACUCCGUGCCAGCAGCCGCGGUAAGACGGAGGAUGCAAGUGUUAUCCGGAAUUACUGGGCGUAAAGCGUCUGUAGGUGGUUUAAUAAGUCAACUGUUAAAUCUUGAGGCUUAACUUCAAAACAGCAGUCGAAACUAUUAGACUAGAGUAUAGUAGGGGUAAAGGGAAUUUCCAGUGGAGCGGUGAAAUGCGUAGAUAUUGGAAAGAACACCGAUGGCGAAAGCACUUUACUGGGCUAUUACUAACACUCAGAGACGAAAGCUAGGGUAGCAAAUGGGAUUAGAAACCCCAGUAGUCC
rnacentral:rRNA from 1 species